rnacentral:rRNA from 1 species
GACGAACGCUGGCGGCGUGCUUAACACAUGCAAGUCGAACGGAAAGGCCCUGCUUUUGUGGGGUGCUCGAGUGGCGAACGGGUGAGUAACACGUGAGUAACCUGCCCUUGACUUUGGGAUAACUUCAGGAAACUAGGGCUAAUACCGGAUAGGAGCUCCUGCUGCAUGGUGGGGGUUGGAAAGUUUCGGCGGUUGGGGAUGGACUCGCGGCUUAUCAGCUUGUUGGUGGGGUAGUGGCUUACCAAGGCUUUGACGGGUAGCCGGCCUGAGAGGGUGACCGGCCACAUUGGGACUGAGAUACGGCCCAGACUCCUACGGGGGGCAGCAGUGGGGAAUAUUGCACAAUGGGCGGAAGCCUGAUGCAGCAACGCCGCGUGCGGGAUGACGGCCUUCGGGUUGUAAACCGCUUUCGCCUGUGACGAAGCGUGAGUGACGGUAAUGGGUAAAGAAGCACCGGCUAACUACGUG